rnacentral:tRNA from 1 species
GGGCCUGUAGCUCAAUGGAUAGAGCGCCAGCCUUCUAAGCUGGAUGUUGCGGGUUCGAGUCCCGUCAGGCCCU